GAGGUCAUUAGGGCUCGUUGGGCUCAUUAGAGGUCAUUAGGGCUCAUUGGGCUCAUUAGAAUGGUGGAGGAGCUUGGGGGUCCCCAGGGGUCAGCAGGUGAGGGGCAGCAGGUGGCAGGGCCUCAUUAAGGCUCAUUAGUCUUAUUAGAGCUCAUUAAGCUUGUUAGGCUCAUUACUCUCAUUAGGCUGAUUGGGCUCGUUAGGCUCAUUAGCCUCAGUAGAAUGGUGGAGGAGCUGGGGGGUCCCCAGGAUCAGCAGGGGGGGACCCCAAUGUUGGCCUUGUUUUGGUUGUGGGGACUCGUUAAGGCUCAUUAGGGACCUGUGCAGAGGCUCAUUAAUUAUGGGCAGCUCAUUAAGGCUCAUUAGGGACCUGCAUAGGCUCGUUAGGGGAUGGGGAGCUCAUUAAUGCUCGUUAAUUGGUGGGGGCUCAUUAAGGCUUGUUGGGUGCUGGGGGAUGCUGAGGUGGAGAUUAACGAGAUCUGAGGUUAAUGAGGUCAGCAGGGUUAAUGAGAUCAGAGGUUAAUGAGGUUAAUGAGGUCAGCAGGGUUAAUGGGAUACGAGGUUAAUGAGGUUAAUAAAGGAGCUCUGGGUUAACAAGGUCAGUGGGGUUAAUGAGAUCAGAGCUUAAUGAGGUCAGCAGGGUUAAUGAGA